CUGCCUGGGACAGGAAGUGUCAGGCGCUCUUUAGGAAGUGACCGUAAACCAAAAGGAAACAGGUGACUCAUCACCCGUCCAGCGGGGUCGUCCAAUCAGAGGAGAGCUGAACUCGGUCCCGCUCGGUUGGUCUUCUGUGCCCCUCUUUUCAAACAGAACCAUGAGCAAAUGACCCAGGGCGUGGUCAUGUGACGGUAUCUACAUCUUUAUGUGUGUGCGUGCGUAUAAAUACUGUAAUCUAGUCAUCAGACAGCGGGAGAUCUUCACACACACACACACACACACACACACACACACACACACACACACACACACACACACACACACACACACACACACACACACACACACACACACACACACACACACACACACACACACACACACACACCCACCCACCCACCCUUCCAGGAAGCAGUUCUCUAAACAGUCAGUAGACAGCGUGCCUGGCCACCAGGCCGUCUGACCCUCCCCUGACGCUGGCUGGAGGUCGGAGCGAUCACAUGACAGAAGCCACGUAUCUUCAGGGGUAAGCCACUGAGAAUGGAUCUCAAGAUGGAUGGAUUUACCGUCCGGAGCCUGAGAGACCCAGAUCAAUAAUCCCCAACAGGAGGAGCUAUUAGCCGGAGGAAGAAGAAGAAGAGGCGGAAGUCCUCGCUUCUGCACAGCGUGCACACGUUCCUGGUCUGCACAAGGCAAUCACGACUCAGAGAGGUUUCACCGGUGAUGCCUCCAUCCCUUAUUGGAAACAGAUCCAGAGCUCACAGCAGCCGCUGUGCUGUUUGCCUCCUGUGCUGCUCUCCUCUCAGAGGGACUCUGUGAUUUAGGACUGCUGGAUGGAGUCUGACUGCAGGGGUGCGUACUGAAAUAGCAAAUGGAAAGAGGAGCGAUUCAGCACAUUGUCAGACGACCUCGCCAGACGGCCUGCGUGCUGACGGAUGACCUGUCACACUCAGGUGGCCAUAGCAUUGAUUUUAAUUUAUUUUGGGAGACUCGCACAGAAUGCUGAUUUGGGUGUGUGUUGUAAUGCAUUGUGUUAACGGACGGGCCGGGGGGAACCGGUAAUGUAGCACAGGUGAGGGAGGAAUGGAAGCCAGCAUCCUUCUACUACUGCCUGUGAGGGACAGUUUCUCACUCCUUGCCGUUUAUGAUUUUGGUGGAAUCACAUUUCAUUUCAUUUCACCAACAACCCCCCGUUUCCGUGCUGUAAUUAAGUGGAAGAUGGAAUGUUAAAUUACUUUGUAAUUCCAUUGUAAAUGCAGAAAAUACAAAAUAAACUUUUUACUCUAA